GGCCCAAUAGUUAAAUAUAUAACCGUAGACUGCAAAUUUUCCAUUGCGUUAAAGGCGCUUGGGCAU
rnacentral:tRNA from 1 species